rnacentral:lncRNA from 1 species
GGCAGUGGAGGAUUUGGCUCAAAAAUGCAGCUUUCACCUUGCUUCUUCCCUCACUACAGGACGGACACUCAGGGGCAGCAGUGGUGCACGCACACAUAGACCAGGCACCGUUUAUUGCGAGCCAAUGGACUGCCCUAUUGGAAAAAAAUACAACUGCCUCAUAAAGGCUGGUCACAGCUACAAGCAAUGUGUGCCUCAAUUACAGACUUGCCAUGUGGCGUGGCAAAGCGUGUGCAAUGUCGUUUACUAUGCCCUUCGCUGUUGUAGUACAGGCAACAGAUGCAUUUGUCAUUGCGAUCCUAAUACUCAGGAUGAAACAUAGUGGCUGAUCCAUAUUACUGAUUACACAUAUGCUCACUAUGACAGCGCUGUGUUGAGAAUGCGAAGAUGACUUACGCAAUGGCUGAGAAAAAAAAUACAAAGGUGUGCGA